GAAAAAUUAGUUAAUUUAUAUAACGUAAGCCUGUCACGCUUGAAUAAUCAAACUUUUGAUAUUUUUCA
rnacentral:tRNA from 1 species